GAUGAAGAACGUAGCGAAAUGCGAUAAGUAAUGCGAAUUGCAGAAUUCCAGUGAAUCAUCGAAUCUUUGAACGCACAUUGCGCCCCUUGGUAUUCCAUGGGGCAUGCCUGUUCGAGCGUCAUUUGUACCCUCAAGCUCUGCUUGGUGUUGGGUGUUUGUCCCGCUUUACGCGUGGACUCGCCUUAAAGCAAUUGGCAGCCGGCAAUCUGGUUAUAGAGCGCAGCACAUUUUGCGCUUCUUGCCAUGGAUGUCGGCGUCCAUCAAGUACAUUUUUUUGCUCUUGACCUCGGAUCAGGUAGGGAUACCCGCUGAACUUAAGCAUAUCAAUAAGCGGAGGA
rnacentral:misc_RNA from 1 species